GUCGAGGAUCAUUUGCAAUGGGCGAAAGCCUGACAGUGCGACGCUGCGUGGAGGAUCGAAGGCCUUCGGGUUGUAAACUCCUGUCAUUCGGGAACAAUAGCGGGGGAGCGAAUAGCUCAUCCGUAUGAUGGUACCGGAAGAGGAAGCCACGGCUAACUCUGUGCCAGCAGCCGCGGUAAUACAGAGGUGGCGAGCGUUGUUCGGAUUUACUAGGCGUAAAGGGUGCGUAGGUGGUUCCGUAUGUCGGAUGUGAAAUCCCACUGCUCAACGGUGGAACUGCAUUCGAAACUGCGGGGCUAGAGUGCAGGAGGGGAGAGCGGAAUUCUUGGUGUAGCGGUGAAAUGCGUUGAUAUCAAGAAGAACACCGGUGGCGAAGGCGGCUCUCUGGAAUGUAACUGACACUGAGGCACGAAAGCUGGGGGAGCAAACAGGAUUAGAAACCCUAGUAGUCC
rnacentral:rRNA from 1 species